GGCAAGAUGGCCGAGUUGGUCUAAGGCGUGAGGUUAAGGUCCUCAUCAUCGUAUGAUGGCGUGGGUUCGAAUCCCACUCUUGUCA
rnacentral:tRNA from 2 species